UCAACAGGGUGAACAGCAGAGGACUUAAGACACAGUCCUGAGAAGAACCUGUGCUCAAGAAAAUGGCGUUAGAAUUAUUUGUUCCAGCUCGCACAUAUUGGGGCCUGCUAUGCUUCAAGCUCAGACGGAGAACAGAAUAAAUAGCAUCCUCCGUGGAGUGAUGUGAUCAUAAGAUGAUCCCAGAGGAGCAGAGGACAUACUAAAAAGCAAGUAUUUACUUCAUUAGAAUCCACAUGCCCAAAGGAAUCCCAGGAAACACGGGAAGACAUUACCUCAGGAUUAAUACAUCCUGAAAAUCAAGCUUUGCUGAAUCUGAGCGAUUGUGCCAGGGAAGAGGUUUAAAAGCAAUUGCAAAAGGAUUUACCCUCUGCCCCCCAUUCCCCUCAAAAAAGACUUCUGGCCAACAACUUGUGUAAAGAAGGAAGAGAAGAAUACUUCAUUUACUGCCACAGUGUAGGCUUGAACUUUAGCUCAUGCCUAUGCUUAAUCUGAUUCACUUCUAGUUAUCUUCCAGGUGUUGUUUUUGUCACUUCAUUUCCUGCACUGCUCAGUAAACUAAGGAACCAACUGGAGUUGGCAAACAGACUUGGGAGUGAUUGAUUCAAGAGUGGCUCCUGUGGCCUGUAGCUACCAGACUGUUGGCGUUCUGUCUGAGGUCAAGCAUGUGCAUGCAUGGUGGGUAAAUGAGAUUUAUUAUAGAGAGGCAAAUAUAGGUAUUGGCAGACAAGGCAUGAAGUACAUGGAGAUAUAAUUCCCAAGCAGUUUCCAAGUCCUUAAGAGCUUGUCUGGGUGAGCUUCCUGGUAGUCAGACACUAAAAGAGCAAACAGAGGAAUAGUCUCAGUCAGAGUCUGAAGGACAGUGUAUUGCAGCAUGAUUGCCAGCCAAUCUGGGUCACAAAGAAGCAGAGUGUCCAUGAACAAGAUUUAGAGGAAGCAAAUGCAUAGAAUGUUGCUGUUUCCAAAAAAACAACAACACCUGAUGGGUAGUGAUGGUUUUUAAAUAGAGCUGGCAACCUGUGCAGGUAAUCAAAGAUGGGGAUUCCCUUGAUGGCGAGAGGCUGUGAAGGAUGUCUUUACCCUACUUAGCAAACUUGGUGACAUACCACUAGGGUGGAUCUUGGAUCUGAUCUCUCAUCACUUUAUGCCACCAGCUUCUUAGCAUGUUCCCCUAGAGCAGGGGUGUCAAACUA